rnacentral:rRNA from 1 species
UGGCCCGGGCUCGCUCUACACCCUUUGUGACAUACCUACAACUGUUGCUUCGGCGGGUAGGGUCUCCGCGACCCUCCCGGCCUCCCGCCUCCGGGCGGGUCGGCGCCCGCCGGAGGAUAACCAAACUCUGAUUUAACGACGUUUCUUCUGAGUGGUACAAGCAAAUAAUCAAAACUUUUAACAACGGAUCUCUUGGUUCUGGCAUCGAUGAAGAACGCAGCGAAAUGCGAUAAGUAAUGUGAAUUGCAGAAUUCAGUGAAUCAUCGAAUCUUUGAACGCACAUUGCGCCCGCCAGCAUUCUGGCGGGCAUGCCUGUUCGAGCGUCAUUUCAACCCUCAAGCUCUGCUUGGUGUUGGGGCCCUACAGCCGAUGUAGGCCCUCAAAGGUAGUGGCGGACCCUCCCGGAGCCUCCUUUGCGUAGUAACUUUACGUCUCGCACUGGGAUCCGGAGGGACUCUUGCCGUAAAACCCCCCAAUUUUCCAAAGGUUGACCUCGGAUCAGGUAGGAAUACCCGCUGAACUUAAGCAUAUCAAUAACCGGAGGAAUACC